UGACUCUGGUUGGAACAAAGCUAAUGGAAAUGCAGAAGUCUCUUCAUCCAUCCCAUUAUUUCCUUUCCUACCACCUCUGAUGGCUUGAUACGUAGAUAAAUGUCCAGCAAUGUACAGAAAUAUAUUAAAGAAAUAUUACGGUGAGAAGAUGGAGAAGACAUACACUCAACAGUCGACAGAAAAAGAUGGAAGGAUGUUUUGAGGCAGUCAAGGCUAAUGAAGGGCUGUAGCGUUAAUUGAUGAUGAUGAUUGGUUUUUUUUUACUUUAAGAUGUAUUUAAUGUGACUCAAUAGUCAUUAUAUGCGAGACAAAUAAAAUUAACUUACUUAUA
rnacentral:lncRNA from 1 species